CCUGGCCUUCCUGUGCUGCCCACGAGACGUCGGCUGGCAGCUACAGCCUGCUCUCACAGACCUAGACAGGUGUGGGGUGACAUCCUCGGCAGGGGUCACAGGACAGGCGUGGUGUGACGUCACCAGCCAAGGUCACACGGCAGGCGUGGUGUGACGUCACCAGCUGAGGUCACACGGCAGGCGUGGUGUGACGUCACCAGCUGAGGUCACACGUGGUGUGACGUCACCAGCUGAGGUCACACGGCAGGUGUGGUAUGACGUCACCAGCCGAGGUCACACGGCAGGCGUGGUGUGACGUCACCAGCCGAGGUCACACGGCAGGCGUGGUGUGACGUCACCAGCUGAGGUCACAUGAGCACCCUGGCCCUCACGCUUGCCUCACUGUGUUUACUCCUCCUGCGCUGAGGUCAGGGGUGGGAAAAAACGGGAAGGACAGGGAGCCUGGGGGCUGCAGGUGCGG